rnacentral:rRNA from 1 species
UGGGGAAUAUUGCGCAAUGGGCGAAAGCCUGACGCAGCGACGCCGCGUGAGGGAUGAAGGUUUUCGGAUCGUAAACCUCUGUCAGAAGGGAAGAAACCGCACUGUGCUAAUCAGCAGUGCCUUGACGGUACCUUCAAAGGAAGCACCGGCUAACUCCGUGCCAGCAGCCGCGGUAAUACGGAGUGUGCAAGCGUUAAUCGGAAUUACUGGGCGUAAAGCGCACGUAGGCUGCUUUGUAAGUCAGGGGUGAAAUCCCACGGCUCAACCGUGAAACUGCCUUUGAUACUGCUUAGCUUGAAUCCGGGAGAGGGUGGCGGAAUUCCAGGUGUAGGGGUGAAAUCCGUAGAUAUCUGGAGGAACAACAGUGGCGAAGGCGGCCACCUGGACAGGUAUUGCCGAUGAGGUGCGAAAGCGUGGGGAGCAAACAGG